rnacentral:rRNA from 1 species
GAUGAACGCUGGCGGCGUGCCUAAUACAUGCAAGUCGAGCGAACGGACGAGAAGCUUGCUUUUCUGAUGUUAGCGGCGGACGGGUGAGUAACACGUGGAUAACCUACCUAUAAGACUGGGAUAACUUCGGGAAACCGGAGCUAAUACCGGAUAAUAUUUUGAACCGCAUGGUUCAAAAGUGAAAGACGGUCUUGCUGUCACUUAUAGAUGGAUCCGCGCUGCAUUAGCUAGUUGGUAAGGUAACGGCUUACCAAGGCAACGAUGCAUAGCCGACCUGAGAGGGUGAUCGGCCACACUGGAACUGAAACACGGUCCAGACUCCUACGGUAGGCAGCAGUAGGGAAUCUUACGCAGUGGGCGAAAGCCUGACGGAGCAGCGCCACGUGAGUGAUGAAGGUCUUCGGAUCGUAAAACUCUGUUAUUAGGGAAGAACAGAUGUGUAAGUAACUGUGCACAUCGUGACGGUACCUAAUCAGAAAGCCACGGCUAACUACGUG